rnacentral:rRNA from 1 species
GUUAAAAAGCUCGUAGUUGGAUUUCUGUCGAGGACGGCCGGUCCGCACUUUGUGCGUGUAUCUGGUUCGGUCUUGGCAUCCUCUUGGGGAACGUUUCUGUGCUUCGUUGCAUGGGGCGGGAUUCAAGACUUUUACUUUGAGGAAAUUAGAGUGUUCACGGCAAGCUAUCGCUUUGAAUACAUUAGCAUGGAAUAAUAAUAUAGGGCGUAAGUUCUAUUUUGUUGGUUUCUAGGACAUACGCAAUGAUUAAUAGGGACAAUUGGGGGCAUUCGUAUUAACGCGUCAGAGGUGGAAUUCUUAGAUUGCGUUACGACGAACUACUGCGAAAGCAUUUGCCAAGGAUGUUUUCAUUGAUCAAGAACGAAAGUAUGGGGAUCGAAGACGAUUAGAUACCGUCGUAGUCUAUACCAUAAACUAUGCCAAUUAGAGAUUGGAGGUCGUUCGUUUUAUGACUCCUUCAGCACCUUAUGAGAAAUCAAAAUUUUUGGGUUCCGGGGGGAGUAUGGUCGCAAGGCUGAAACUUAAAGGAAUUGACGGAAGGGCACCACCAGGAGUGGAGCCUGCGGCUUAAUUUGACUCAACACGGGAAAACUUACCAGGUCCAGACAUAGUAAGGAUUGACAGAUUGACAGCUCUUUCUUGAUUCUAUGGGU